AUGUGGAUUAAUUCGAUGCAACGCGAAGAACCUUACCUGGGUUUGACAUACACCGGAAACCUGCAGAGAUGUAGGCCCCCUUGUGGUCGGUGUACAGGUGGUGCAUGGCUGUCGUCAGCUCGUGUCGUGAGAUGUUGGGUUAAGUCCCGCAACGAGCGCAACCCUUGUCCUGUGUUGCCAGCGGGUUAUGCCGGGGACUCGCAGGAGACUGCCGGGGUCAACUCGGAGGAAGGUGGGGACGACGUCAAGUCAUCAUGCCCCUUAUGUCCAGGGCUUCACACAUGCUACAAUGGCCGGUACAGAGGGCUGCGAUACCGUGAGGUGGAGCGAAUCCCU
rnacentral:rRNA from 1 species